AUUGAACGCUGGCGGCAUGCCUAACACAUGCAAGUCGAACGAGUGGCGGACGGGUGGGUAAUUUCUGAGAAACUGCCUGAUGUAGGGGGAUAACUACUGUAAACGGUAGCUAAUACCGCAUACCAUCAGAUUUGCCCAGAUGGGAUUAGCUUGUUGGUGGGGUAACGGCUCACCAAGGCGACGAGCCCUAGCUGGGCUGAGAGGAUGACCAGCCACACUGGGACUGAGACACGGUCCAGACUCCUACGGGAGGCAGCAGUGGGGAAUAUUGCGCAAUGGGCGAAAGCCUGAUGCAGCCAUGCCGCGUGUAUGAAGAAGGCCUUCGGGUUGUAAAGUACUGUCAGUGGGGAGGCGUUACCCAAAGAAGAAGCACCGGCUAACUCCGUGCCAGCAGCCGCGGUAAUAC
rnacentral:rRNA from 1 species